rnacentral:piRNA from 1 species
AACACAUUCCAGAAUUCUGAAGGGCUCC